UGGAUUGUGGCUCUGCGGUAGAGCGCUCACCUAGCACGCGAGGCCCUGGGUUCGAUCCUCAGCAGCACAU
rnacentral:tRNA from 1 species